UACGGAGGAUGCGAGCGUUGUCCGGAUUUACUGGGCGUAAAGGGAGCGUAGGCGGACUUUUAAGUGAGAUGUGAAAUACUCGGGCUCAACUUGAGUGCUGCAUUUCAAACUGGAAGUCUAGAGUGCAGGAGAGGAGAAUGGAAUUCCUAGUGUAGCGGUGAAAUGCGUAGAGAUUAGGAAGAACACCAGUGGCGAAGGCGAUUCUCUGGACUGUAACUGACGCUGAGGCUCGAAAGCGUGGGGAGCAAACAGG
rnacentral:rRNA from 1 species